rnacentral:rRNA from 1 species
UAAUACGGAGGAUGCGAGCGUUAUCCGGAUUUAUUGGGUUUAAAGGGUGCGUAGGCGGAUAGAUAAGUCAGUGGUGAAAACCUGCAGCUUAACUGUAGACUUGCCGUUGAUACUGUCAGUCUUGAGUAUGGUCAAGGUAGGCGGAAUGUGUAAUGUAGCGGUGAAAUGCUUAGAUAUUACACAGAACACCGAUUGCGAAGGCAGCUUACUGGGCCAUUACUGACGCUGAUGCACGAAAGCGUGGGGAUCGAACAGGAUUAGAUACCCUGGUAGUCCACGCCGUAAACGAUGAUCACUCGCUGUUAGCGAUACACAGUUAGCGGCUAAGCAAAAGCAUUAAGUGAUCCACCUGGGGAGUACGGCCGCAAGGCUGAAACUUAAAUGAAUUGACGG